GCAAGACGCACGCUACAGCAACUUCGGCCGUCCCGACGCCGCGGCUUUGGAGCCAAGUGGAAAUCGUACAAGUGCACACAAAGAAGAACGGUUGGUCGCCUUGUAAGUGCAGGUGAUGACAUCUGGAUGCCUGAAGAGUACCUAUUGCUUGUUGAUGGCCAUGUUGUGGCAGCAGCAAAGAUGUUCAAGCAAGCAUUCCGCAUGCUGUUUGCAGCUUACUGCUGCUUCCACAUUUGUUAUGCAGAGAAGGCGUCAUGCACACUUGAAUUCAUACAAAGGGCAUUUUCGGCAUAAACCCAGACCGUGGACGGAAGGGCAAAAAAGGAAAUGUGGCGGUCAGCAAGAAAGUUCUUGCCUUGGUGCAGCGCAUUACUGAGUGUGAAUGGAAUGUCCAGCAUGGACUAGUUGACCACACGCAGGGAUACUUUUUCGUCUGCCAAGCAGCCCAGAACCUUACAAUGCGAACUACAGAAAUGGUUCCCUUUCACCAAGUCAUCUACACAAGAAAUAAUUUUAAAGCUACGUGAAGUGCAAUAAAGUGUUU